UUUCAUGUCUGAGCAUCUCAUUGCAGAGAACUUCUACAGUGAGCCCUGCAUGUUUCCCUACCAAAUGCCCCAUUCCAAUUACUGCAGAACAGAUCAUGACUGAGUCCCGCAGUUAGCUCCUUUUGCAAGAAUGGCUUGUUCGGGAGGGUUCUUGCCUACGGGUCACAGGUACUGCAGUGCGAUGCCAGCUCUGGACAAGUUCUCGUGCUGCAGUGUCGUACCUACUGUCAACCCCUGCUGCAGGAGCUCUUUUGUAGUGCAUCCCACCCACAUCGCUGAGCUCCUCACCCCCCAGAGGUGCCAAUGGAUUAGCGACUGCCUCCCCUCCCCUGGCCCAGCAUGGAAGAAGCUGAGCACAUUGGGGAGAUCAGUGAGCUUAGACAGCAAUGUCCCUGUGCUGGUGAGAGGGGAAAAAGAUGGAUUUUAUUACCGUGGUACAGUAAAAGAAGAGAUAGAGAGUGAAAGAGGCACGUUCCUGGUAGAGUUUGCCAAACCACAUGUGUCACGUGGAAGGCAUCCAGUGUGUGUGCAAAGAACAGCAAAGGAUGACAUCCUGGAAUACGUGAACAGAAUGAAGCACUCCUUACUCCCUGGAGACAAAGUGCUGGCACCCUGGGAGCCAGAUAUGGCCAGAUAUGGCCCAGGAACUGUCCUCACGGGCAUUGAGACGAGAGACCCCUUAAGAGCCUCAGAAGAUGAAGAAAUUACGGUCCAUUUCUGGAACGACAAGGAAGUGAAACUCCCGCGAGGUGUGGCUCUGUGGAUCCCUCCUAGCCUGUGGGAGAGGAUUGUAGAGAUGAUCCACAUGCCCUUCGCCAGCAGGGUGAAGCCCAAACAAAGUCCGGACGCUAACUCUUGUAUUUUUUCCUGCGGUUCCAAAACAGCCCUGGUUCCUGUUUGUGCUGUACGUAGCCUUGCCAAGCACUGCUUGCUCUGCUCACCCUCCUGGCCACAUUUCCACUAUCACUGUGAUGGUAUAUGCUGUUCUUCAGCAUAUGUAAGGUGCAUCUGCUGCUGCCAUCCCCAUGUUGAUGCCUGGUGGCCUCUUCCAUCCAGGUCUCUGGUCUUUCAGAAUGAAACUGAAAAGGCGGAGUCCAGCAGUGAGCCCUUUCCAUGCCUUCUAGAACUGAAAGGCCCCAAACAAGAAGCAGCAGCAGCUGUGGCAGUGUCUUCCCCCUGUGUUGAUGCAGAGUGGGACCUGGAGGCGUCCCCCACUGAGAGUACUGUGGUGCACGGUGCUGUUAACACAGACUCCAGCUGUCUUGAGAAGCCCAGGCUAAAGGAUUCUGCAAGACCCGAGUGGAAAUACUGGAAAAGAAGCCACCACAAGUCCCAUCCCAGUAAUUCAGGACUUGGCAGUCGCAGCAGCACAUGUACAGAGGGCAAGAUGGAAUCCAAAGCCAUCUCCGUUGGGAACAUGUCCCACGUUGCCCCAACUUAUCGGAGUGCAAUGUUUGAAACCAUCGAGCAGUCUCCCAGAGGGCAGCUCACAAUGAAAGAAAUCUUAAGAGACCAAUAUUUCAAGCUGUCAUUUGGGCUGAGGAGGGGAAUGAUAGAGUGGCUUUGGUGGGCACCUGGUGUUCAGCCAGGGUCAACCCACCACACAGAAAAGAGGAAGAAAAAAGCCUGCAGGAAGAAGGGGAACAUGAAAGAGAAUGGCAGGAUGAACAGAAACACUGCUCUGCACAAGAGCGUCAGGGGUACAAUAAAUAAAUUAUAUAUUGGAAAUCAAACAUUAGCUCCUUUGUACCUUCAUGCUCUUGCUACUGUGAGCUUACUGCAGGGUAAAACUUUGAAUGUGCUAAACUUGCAUGAUUUUCUUUAGGAGAAGAUGAAUCUGUUAAUGACAUGUCUUGGUGAACAGAGAAUAUACUGGAAUAUAUCUUGUACUCUCACAAUUAUAUGCAUUAAUUUUAAGCAGAUGCCUACUGACUUAUUAACUAUACGGUUCCUACUUUAUUAUUUAAAUAAUCAUAAUUACACACCUUUGUAAUUGCCUUCCUAGGAAUUUUUAGGCCAGUAUGGAGCUCCAAGCAGACAUGCGCUAUGUUAGCAAGUGUCACAGCUAUGCCCUGAAGUGACAUGCUUUGCCUUUUGGUAAAACUAAAAAAAACCCCCAAAACCCAGAGUGGUUUCAUUCUAGCCCUAAACUGGCAUCAUGAAUCACAGUAGUGGAUGCAAUGUGUUAAUACAGAGUAUGAUGACAUACUUUUAUUCCUGUGAAAUGGCCCUUGGUGUUUUUAAACCCAGAAUAUACAUUGCCACUCCUUCAGACUGCAGAGAAGCAGUUUUAUCAUAUAAUGCAGACUGCAUCAGAAAUAACUUGAAACAAACAAGUGAAGCUAGAGAGCAGGCUUCCCAGAGGUGCUCUCUGUGGAGCUAAUGUUCUCCCACUGUAGUCACCAAAAAUUCUCCUAACUUCUAAAGGAGCAAAGUUUUUGGUCAAAGCCUAACAGCUGCUGAAAAUCCUUUGGUCUUGUACACUUCUGUGUUUCAGCAGUAAAAUUUGUACUAGCACAGAAAUGAUACCAUUAUUAAAGCUAUGUGAGGCAGAGGUACCUAUCUUACAGCCAGGAAAGCAGCAGUUACAAAGACACUGAUGCUUUUUUUUAGGUUAGACUUCCAAGGGAUUUGUUUUCUGUCCUCCAGGAAGAAGGUUUUGCAGCAUCAGAAAAACAAAGAUAUAAAACAGCAAGGAAGAAGACAGAGUCGGAUGAUAACUGUAAAGUGACUUGCACAGAAGGCAACAAACUUGACGAUACAGACCAUGUCAGAAGAGGACAGACAAAAAAAACAACGAAGAGCUCACUUGCAACAAAGGAGAGGGAGAGACACGAUCAACACAGAAUUCAAUAAAUGGACAACUGAUGAAGUUCAGGAGCUGAAAUUUCAGGCUGCCAUGAAGCUAUAGUACUUCUGGACAACAAUAGAAACAGACAAUAUUAUGUGGAGAAGCAUCAAAGCCAUGGUCACAACUACUGCAGAUUUACAAUUAAAAGUGAAACUGACCUUCUAUAUUAAUUGGCUGGUGUGUUCUCACGUGAGGAUGAAAACAAUGCCUGGAUGUCCACAGGACAUCUGCCUUCUGGUAUAAAACUGUUAGCCCUGAUUGUAGAUGCCUGUCUCCCGACACAAUACAUAGGGACUCCCUGACACCUCAGAACUAAAUUAAUGAAAAUAUCAGAAGGAACGCUCUGGAAACAUCUAACUGAUCAGGCUCCUUGAGAAAAGCUCUGGUAGAAAAAGGCAUAGUUUAUAGGUCCUGAACAGGAUGUAUAUGCAAGCCAGGUGCUUUGCAACCUAGCCAGUGAAGACUGGUUCUGCAGGGCAUGUGCAGGAGCAGUGCUCUAAAAGCAGAACACGUUAAUACUGAAAAAUGAGUUGGUGAAGAAGCUAAAGUGUCUUCAAGGCUGGUAUGAGGAGCACAGCGGUUUCGAGAAUUGUAUUUAAGUCCGCAGCAGCCCUUUUCUGGCUCCACAGUAAAGGUACCUGAAUCUUCCCCACUGCAAAUUAAAUAUUUGAGUAUAGCUCUGCUGCCAUCUGUUGUCACCUCUCAGGGUUACCUUUUUGAUCACAGGGACCAAAAAGUUCCAAAAUACCUAUUUUAUUUCACUUCCAUUUUCCUUGUCUCUGACUGUCAAGACUAAACUUAACAAAAAUAAGGCCAGUAGCAAUUCUUAUUUCCAAAUCUACUGCUGUGUUUUAUUCCUUGAGGUUAUGCACACAUCAACAGAUUUGGUUGCUUGUAUUGUGGUUUACUGUGGAGCUACGUCCCCAAAUACAUCAAAUACUCUGACUUUAUUGCGUAACGCUUCACUGAGCAUUUCUGUAUCACGGGAGGUGAGCUGGAUUCUUUUACGUGAUGUCACAGAGCAAAGAAAUGAAAACAAACUUUUGGGGUAAGAAAUGUGGGUAAACUUUGGUCCCUUAGUAACUCUAAGCAACUCAUCCUAAAUCACAGUUUUAAUCGUUUGCAGUCAAGUGCCUAAAUGGUUAUGUUGGGCUGUGGAUUUUUAUUUGCACUUUGUAAACUUUAUUCAUGAACUUGUGGGUCUGAGAAUUCCCCCCACCCCACCCUUUUAUGACUCUUCUUGUCUACAGAAGAUGACUGAAGCAGUACUGUCUCAGCUGAUGCAUAAAUAUGGAAGUCAUCCACUGCUUGCUCCAACUCUGAUACUCCUAACAGGGAAUAGGAUGAGUCUCUAUACACUGUUAUAUUUUUGUUUCGUGUUGUGUAAAACUAUUCCGAGUUGUUUUAGUAUGUAGUGCUUUGAAAUGAUAAAGGAGUUGUUUAAGAACUAA